rnacentral:misc_RNA from 2 species
AACGCACAUUGCGCCUCCCGUAAAUGGGAGGCAUGCCUGUCUGAGCGUCAUUUAAAACCAUAACCCUUUGGGUUGUAUUGGGACUCACCCAUGGGUGUCUCCUCAAAGUCAUCGUGUCUAAAAGCGUACGAGUUCCAUUAGGACAGAACGUUUGAGGACCCUAAACUCUCUGACUUGACCUCAGAUCAGGUAGGACUACCGCCUGAACUUAA